UAAACGACUCUCGGCAACGGAUAUCUCGGCUCACGCAUCGAUGAAGAACGUAGCAAAAUGCGAUACUUGGUGUGAAUUGCAGAAUCCCGUGAACCAUCGAGUUUUUGAACGCAAGUUGCGCCCGAGGCCUUCUGGUUGAGGGCACGUCUGCCUGGGCGUCACGC
rnacentral:rRNA from 1 species